rnacentral:rRNA from 1 species
CUGCAUGAAGUCGGAAUUGCUAGUAAUCGUAGGUCAGCAUACUACGGUGAAUACGUUCCCGGGCCUUGUACACACCGCCCGUCAAACCAUGAGAGUUGGCAACACCCGAAGUCGGUAGUCUAACCGCAAGGAGGACGCCGCCGAAGGUGGGGUUGAUGAUUAGGGUUAAGUCGUAACAAGGUAUC